rnacentral:rRNA from 1 species
GAUGAACGUUGGCGGCGUGCCUAACACAUGCAAGUCGAACGCUAGUAGCAAUAUUAGAGUGGCGCACGGGUGAGUAACACGUAGCUUAUCUACCUCCCAGCGCGGGAUAACGGUUCGAAAGAACUGCUAAUACCGCAUAAGCUCACGAGCUAUAGAGGCUGGUGAGAAAAGGCUUAGGUCACUGGGAGCGGGGGCUGCGGCCCAUCAGCUAGUUGGUGAGGAACGGCUUACCAAGGCGACGACGGGUAGGGGACCUGAGAGGGU